rnacentral:lncRNA from 1 species
AUGAGGACCCGGGCCAGCACCAGCCACAGCCACCAUGGUGCGGGGCGUCCGGGCCUUCUAUGCAAGUGGCCUGUGCAGGCUGCAGAGCCCUGGAGCGAGGGCGAGCACCCCCGCCGCUGUUUUAGGGUGCCGGGCUCAGGUCCACAGGGCUUUGGGAGUGAUGCAAGCCUGGAGCCCAGGGGCUGCUGGUCAGAGAGCCUUCCUGGCUCCCAGCAGCUCUCACUCAUUGGCUCCCAGCAUGAUCUAAUCGUUUCUGGCCCUGCUGCCAGCUCCUUGUCCCAGCCGGCCCCGGGCCGGCGGACACAGCCACACGCAGCUCCACCCCCGCAGUGGUCUCAGGUGUGCUCCCAGGCCAGCAGCAGCAGCAGCAGCGUUACCUGGAAACUUACUGCAAAUACACCUUCUCAGGCCCCACCUGAGACGCAUGGAGCCCAAAGCCAGGCGGUGGGGCCCAGCCCAGCCCUGGCGACUUCAGCAGACUCUCCGUGUUUCGGACACACCCCGAAUUUGAGGAUCCCUGUACUGCACGGCCUGCGUGUCCUCAUCCGUACUUCAGAGAAAGUAGCGCUUGAUCACAAGGUUGCGCCCAACGCGAGCCUCCCACGUGCUGGGUGUAACCCUGUGCCAGACAUCGCUUUGAGCUCUUUGCAAGGAGGAACUCAGCUGUUCCCUGAGGAACAAGCCUUGACAGCAGAUUCUGGAAGACUGCCGCAGACCGGAUUCUGGGAGGCCCUGGCGUCUCUUCCGGAACAGCAGAGCUUCCGCCCGAAUGGAACUGUUUAAGUGCAGGACAAGGUGGGAAAUGCUUCCAGCCGCAAUCCACGGAUGACAGCUGCCCGCAGGGUCCUGGGACUGGCUGUGUGACCUCGGGCCAGUCCCUGCCCCUCUCUGAGCCUUGGUUCUGUCAGCUGGAUAGUGGUGAUGUGCAGGUAAUGGAGCCACUUCCACCCUGCCUGGGUCAGACUGGGCAAGAACCAUGCCUUCCCUUCCUCGGUCAGCCCCAGGACUCAGUCAGAGGUCAGGGGUCAAGCCCGAGGCCGCCCCUCGCUAGCUGUGUGAACGACCAUGGGCAGGGCGCUGCACACCCUGAACUCCUGCUCCCCAGAAAAGACACAGAUCAGGGAUUCACCCCAGGGCCAGAGUAUACCCUCUGGCUGGCUCCCUCCCAGCUCCCAGGCCUAUAAGUGGAGCCACUGCCUACCCGAGCUGCUCACAUAGCCCUGGGAGGCGGGGGGCGGGGUGCAUGGCCCGCAGCCCAGCCUGGGGUGGGGGGGGGACCUCGGGACCCAUGACGUCACGGAGAGCAGUUUCCAGGCCGGCCCCCCGGGGCUGGGGCCACUCUGGAGCGCAGCACUGCCCUUUUCCCUUUCCUUCGCUUUCUGUUUUGGCUGUGGCCCGGACACGAAAGCUGUUGGACGCUGCAGGCCAAGGAAAGGCUGAGUUCAGAAAUGGACUCUGGUUUCAGAGCCCAACCUGGAAGUCAGAUUCCUGCCUCCUGGGCCUACCUGGAGCCCAGGCCAGGUGCCUCGGGGUCAGGGGAGAUAGCGGACAGCCUCUCCUUCCCACAAGGGUUCGCUAGACCUCAGCUGGACAUCCAGGAAGCAGACACCGUGCACCCACAAGAAGCAGAUGCAGGGGGCCAGCAUGGCAGUGCAGCAGCAGUUAAGCCGCCUGUCGCCAACAUCUCAGGUGCUCUACUUCCGGCCCAGCUCCCUGCUAAUGCCCCUGGGAAGGCAGCGGAAGAUGGCCCAAGUGCUGGGGCCCCUGCACCCAAGUGGGAGACCCGGAUGGAGUCCCAGGCCCCAGCCAUUGUGGCCAUUUGGGGAGUGAACCAACAGAUGGAAGAUUCUCUCUCUCUCUCCCUCCCCCCCUCCCCCCUCCCUCUCCCGCUCUCUGUAACUCUGCCUUUCAAAUAAACAAAUAAUUCUUUUUUGAAAAGAAGAAACA